rnacentral:rRNA from 1 species
GGGAUGCCUAGGCUCUCAGAGGCGAAGAAGGACGUGAUAAGCUGCGAAAAGCUGCGGGAUCCGCAAAUAGGACGUGUCCGC